UGAUGCAUAGCCGAGUUGAGAGACUGAUCGGCCACAUUGGGACUGAGACACGGCCCAAACUCCUACGGGAGGCAGCAGUAGGGAAUCUUCCGACAAUGGACGCAAGUCUGAUGGAGCAACGCCGCGUGAGUGAAGAAGGUUUUCGGAUCGUAAAGCUACUGUUGUUGGUGAAGAAAGGAUAGAGGUAGUAACUGGCCUUUAUUUGACGGUAAUCAACCAGAAAGUCACGGCUAACUACGUGCCAGCAGCCGCGGUAAAU
rnacentral:rRNA from 1 species